rnacentral:rRNA from 1 species
CAGCCGCCGCGGUAAUGCGUAGGGUGCGAGCGUUAAUCGGAAUUACUGGGCGUAAAGCGUGCGCAGGCGGUUUUGUAAGACAGGCGUGAAAUCCCCGGGCUCAACCUGGGAAUGGCGCUUGUGACUGCAAAGCUAGAGUGCGGCAGAGGGGGAUGGAAUUCCGCGUGUAGCAGUGAAAUGCGUAGAUAUGCGGAGGAACACCGAUGGCGAAGGCAAUCCCCUGGGCCUGCACUGACGCUCACGCACGAAAGCGUGGGGAGCAAACAGGAUUAGAUACCCCUGUAGUCCCUGUCUCUUAUAC